rnacentral:snRNA from 1 species
ACAUUUAUUUUUAAAAUCAUAUUUGGAUCACGAAGGUGGUUUUCCCAGGGCGAGGCUUAUCCAUUGCACUCCGGAUGUGCUGACCCCUGCGAUUUCCCCAAAUGUGGGAAACUCGACUGCAUAAUUUGUGGUAGUGUGGGACUGCGUUCGCGCUCUACCCUG